rnacentral:sRNA from 1 species
GCUGGAUGUGGUGGUGCACACCUGUAAUCCCAGUGACAGGAGGUUGAGGCAGGAGGAUCAUAAGGUCAAGGACAAGUUUGGUAACUUAGCGAGACCCUGUCUUAA